GAAAUCGCGGGCAAGAAAGGAACCCUUAUGACCAAGCAAGGCAUUAAAGUGCACAAGCAACUCAAAGCUGCCGUAGUGCAGGGUACCAAUUAAUAUCCCGGUUUCCGGAUUUUGCUCAUGUAAGCGGUCUAGCAAUUCGCGCCCUGCUGAGAAGUCAAUCAUUUCCUUCGCCCGAUUCUCUGUCAAUGCAGGCACACGGGCAAAGCUAAGCAAAUUCCUUGCGAGCACAUCCCAGGAUUGCGCAAGAAUCUUAGCUCGUUCUUCAUGAGACUUUCCAGGAAAGACCAGCUGCAGAUUUCUUUCGCCGACGCUGUCUGCUCUAGGAAGAAAGAGACGAAGGACAGCAAUCGAGAGGCGCGCAAGGCGAAGUGCGAACGGUCUCGGUGCCCGAUGCAUCAACCAAAAAAGAGUC
rnacentral:misc_RNA from 1 species